rnacentral:lncRNA from 1 species
UAUCCUCCAUGAAUAUCUAGCCUCCAAUCUAAUAUCAUCCCUCAGUCCUAAUAGCCUAUCCUCCCAGUUCUAUAAUAUAUCCUCCAAUCUAAUAUCUAUCCUCCAGUCUAAUAUCUAUCCUCCAAUCUAAUAUCUAUCCUCCAGUCUAAUAUCUAUCCUCCAAUCUAAUAUCUAUCCGCCAUAUCUACCCAUCAUCUAAUAUCCUCCAUGUCUAAUAUCAUCCGCCUAUCUAAUAUCUAUCCUCCAUAUCCAAUAUCUAA